ACUAAGAGUGGAUCUGCUACCAAGAAUGACACGUGACUAGGGAAUAUUUUUUUCUUUAAUUGACACUUUAUAGUUUAUUCUAAGCAGUUAGAUAGAAAGAUGAUGUGUUCAAAAAAAAAAAAAAAAAGAUGAUGUAUAGUGAAUCAUAUAUAUUAAUAUCACUAAAUUAAUAAACGCAGUAUUUAUAUAAAUAUAUUCAUUUUACAUUGAAUUGGUUCAGAAUUGACAUCUACUAAAAUAAUAAGAUAAUAAAAAUACUAUGUAAAUAUAUAACCAUGUUAACAUCAUCAGUUUGUAACUAAUUAUAUAUAAAUUUAAUGUAAAUAUAAAUAUAAAUAUUAUUGAAGAUAAUCAAUCCAAGAGAAAAAACUUUUGGCUUAAAGUAAAACGCCAAGUUCUUAUUUUCAAAUUUCUAGGUUCUAAAUUUUGGAUUAGAUGAUUCUCAUGUUUCUGUGUAAAACUGAAAACUUCUACAAAAAAUAUGAAUAUUCAAAUAUUUCAAAAUAGAGUUGAGUUUUUCUAAAUUUAAACAAAAACAAGGAAAUUUGUACUAUCUAAAAAGAUGGACAUAGCACAGAUUAAAAAGAAACUAUCAUAGUAGUAUCUAUUAAAUGGUUAAAUAUAUAUACAUAUAUUUAUAGAAUUAGUUUGUUAAUAAUCAUAGUUUUGGUUUCUGGGAUUGGGAGGAUUUGUGGUUUAGAUUUAAGGUGUAAUUUAGUUUUUUUUUUAUUAUUUAGUGAAUUCUCCAUCUGUUUCAUAUUAAGUGUCACUUUAACAUUUUCAUAGAAAUUAAGAAAACUAUAUAAUAGACUAAUAUAUUUUUAUUUAAUAUAUGAUUAUAAUUAGUUAAAUGAAAAUAAUUUAAAUAAAAACUUAUUAGUUAUUCAAAAUGUUUAAAAAAAUUUAAUAUACUUAGUUACGUUGGAAUUGUAGAAUUACUCUUAUUUAAAAAUAAAAUGAUAUAAAUGAAACCGAGAGAAUAUUAUUUUGGUCAUUCUUUUCACUAUUUGUAAUUUUGUGAUAAAUUUUGUACUUUUUAAUAAAUUUGUCUUAAAUUAACUGUCUGAUCAAUUAUUGUGGUUAAUAGUACAGCAAUAAAACAAUCAUGAGCGUCUAUUGUUGCAACAUGGGAUCAUGACAUGAGACUGAUUGCAAAUUUUUUUACUGUUGUAUUUGAUCGUUAAUUUUUUUAUCACUAUUAAAAAAAAAAUCUGCAACAAUACAGUUAGUUGCAAUGAUUAUCAGUAGCAAAGCUAAAUGUACCAAAGGUGGGGCAGUUGUGCAUAGGGGUGGGCACUUCGGUUAUUUUAUCGGUUCGGUUCGAGUUUGGUUCGGUUUAGUUAGUUCGGUUCUAGAUUUUUUUCAGCUGAAGUAAACCAUAGUUAGUUUGGUUUGGAUCGAUUUCGGUUCGGUUAUGUUCGGUUCGGUUUAUAUUCGGUUUGGUUCAUAUUCAAUUCGGUUUGUAUUUCGGUUCGGUUCAGUUUAAUCGGAUUUUUCUUAGUUUAUUUAUUGUACAAGAAAUUAUGUUUUAAUACAUAAAUGUAUGGUUGUCAUGAAAUAAUCAUGUUGGUCAUAAUAAAAAAUUAAGUAUGUAAAUUAAAUUUAAUAUAAAACCAAAAUAAAAUCCUUUUAAAAUGUUACAAAUAUAGUUUAUAACUUUAUAAGAAUUCAAUCAAACCAAAAUUAACUAAAUAAAAAGAAAAAAACAAUAUUUUUGUCUCUUAAGAAUUAAAAAAAGCAUGUAAUAAGUCAUCUUCCAUGUGAUAUCAUCAAAAAAAGUGCAACGAAUCAAUAAUUAGUAUAUGUUAUAUAUAUACUAUACAAGUAUUUAUCUAUAUUUUUACUAUAACUCUACACCCAUGAUUCCAUAUUGUUCUUUUCACUAACAAAAAUUGAAAACAGAACACGUCUUUGAGAGAAAUACAAUAAUGGUUACACAAAAGCAUGAAACCGUAUAAUAAAUUAUAUUAGUUUCAUGGAAAUCAAACUAUAUUAGGAUUUUCUUAGUGUAAAAGAAAAUUACGUGGGCUUAAUCUUAGGAUUUUAAUUUACUAAUAUUUUUAAUUUAAAUAACUAUAAAACACUUCGGUUUAUCGGUUCGGUUCGGUUUAAACUGAACUGAACUGAACCGUUCGGGUUGGGAAAAUCUUCAACCGAAUGAUUUGAAAUAAACUUUGAUUUGGUUCGAAUCAGUUUCGGUUCAGUCGGUUCAGUUUGAUCGGUUCGGUUCGGUUUUUUUGCCCACCCCUAGUUGUGCACCAUAAAUUUUUAAUUUAGUGUAUUUCUAAAGUUUUUAAUGAAUAUUAUUUCUUAUAUUAUAUUUUGUUAAUAGAUUUUAUGUUUUCCUUAGAUAAAAAUUAUUUAUAGAUUCGCUGCCAUCGACGAUUAUUGUCAAGAUAAUAUGACAUAAACAAACAAUAUUUGAUAGAAACAUACAAACCAAUAUGACUAUUAUUACAGUCGCAUGUUUCGGUGACAGGCCGUAGUACUAUUAAUUGUGAAUACGAACUGUGAUGGACUUUAGGACCUACAAAAGAAGUUCAUGUCACGAUGAAUCAUGAAACAAGAUCCUGACUGUUGACUUUUAAAAGAAAAAUAAUAAUGUCGACCAGUUACCAGAUUAACAUGUCGGCAAAACACCUUUCCUUUAUAUUUCCUAUAAACUGGGCCCAUGAAUAUAGGCCCAAUAGAAUAGGAUCAGGUCUACUUACUUUUUAGUCUCUCUCUCCUCUAAAGAUAAUUUUUUUAAACACUUUCAUUUCAUUAACUUGGAGAUCAGAGGAUCAGAGUAAAUCCAAGAUUACGUCGAGAAAAUUAGAAACAGAGCAUACCCUUAACUAAAGAGGUGACUUAGCCAAGUUGGAUAAUUUACUACACUAUUAGCUACAAGAAAGGUCCCUUUGAGAGCAUGACGAGUGUUUUCACGACCUCUGACGUCAUCACUUUUGUGGGUUCCAGAGACUUUUUGAUCCAUCGUGGGUUCCAGAGAUUUUUUCCAGAGAUCAAAUUCAUUACAGUUCUGAUCCAUCGUGGGUUCCAGAGAUUUUUGUUUCAAGACGCUGACGUCAUCACUUUUGUGGGGAUAAGAAACCAAAGGCAGUGUUUUUAAGACCGGAGAGACUAGCGAACCAAAAAAUUUUUGCGUCAUGGAUUAUUAUGGUUUGACCAAGUCUGAAUCAGAUUUGACCGGAUUUACUUAGAUUACAUUAAAUUUAAUGAUAUUUUAUAAACAAUAUACAUAUUCUUACAAAAAUAGAUCAAUAUAUAAUGUUUAGAUAGCCAUAAUGUGUAGAAAAACUUAAAAUAAUAAUUAAAAUCUAAAAUCAAUAUGAAAAGCAAAUUUAAAUUUUAUUCGUAAAUCUUAUCACUCUAAAUCUUCAUUAUCUUUUAAAAUAAAUUAUAUACACAUUAGGUAAAAGUUAUAUUUUGAAAUACAAAUUUCACAAACGUAAAUGUUUCAAUUAUUCAAAGUCAUCAAAACAAAUGAUCAUGAAAUAAAAUUUAAACAAAGUGAGAAGUAGACAAAAACAAUAUAUUGGAGUGAUAUUAAUUUUGUAAAUCUUGUAAUUUAUGAGUUGUAGAGAAGACAAAAGAAAAAACCAAGAGACAAUACUUUAUUAAUCUUCAAUAAAUCUUAUUUUUACUUAAAAAAAGAAAAGAAAAGUAAUUAUUUCAUUAACAAAAUUUUAUCUUAUAUACGAACCGGGGUUUGGCCGGUUCAUUGGGUCGUCGGUUCCCGGGUUUUUGACGGUUCGAUAGGGUUUUUAACUGGUUCAAUUUUAGUUGGGUUUUAGCAUUAACCCAACCUGGAUUAUUUUCGGUUCAUGGUUCAACCUGGUCCGACCGGUCCGGGUUUAAAAACACUGCCAAAAGCAAAACAAAAAAAGAAGAAUAUUUAUAACAACAAUGGUGUUCCUCUUUUCUCAAUAUCGUGAUGGGUUCGUCUCUAUUUCUCUCUUCCUCUGAGCUUUUCUUCCGUUUGUCCUUCCAACUUAAAACCAUUUGGAGGUAAAUAAAUUGGUCCAUAUCACUUAUAUAUUACUUAAAUCCUUUUUAUAUUUUCGAUGUGGAUCUUAUCUUCAACACCCUCCCUCGAGAUAAUGGUGCGUAUAACUAUUAAUUUCGCAAAAUCCAUCACAUUCCUCCGAAACAAUGCUUUAUUUCUUUCUAGCAAUCCGGUGGACCUGAGCUUUCUCAUGACCAUCAGCUAAUGGGAUGAUCGGAUCUCUUUCCGGAACGGAUUAGUGGGUCAGGAUGUGGACCUGCUCUGCUACCAUGACUAGAGAUAAGAUCCCACAUCGAAAAUAUGAAAAAGGACUUAGGUAAUAUAUAAAUAGAUCAACCCAAGUCACUUAAAUUUUUUCAUAUUUUUGAUGUGGGAUCUUAUCUCCAACAUCUUCCAGAAAGAAUUUUCCAACUUACACUUACCUCUUGCAGACGUUUUCCAUCACGAUAAACCUCUUAUGGUAAGUGUUUUGCUUUCACAUGCUACACAUGAACAUACUGCAGGAUGUAAUACAUAUGUGACUGGAGGGGAACCGAAUCAGCCCCCAACCAAGAAUGGCUUUUACCGGUGAUGCUGUACUGAUACGGUUCUUGUACUAAAAUAUAGAAAAAAAUCUGCUAUGUCAUGCAUAAGAACUCUAGGAAUCUGUGCACUCACAUGCAAGUUUUCACACUAUAUUUUUGGAGAUUAUGUAAGUUAGAUUGAACAUAUGAAGUUUGUGUUGAACAUGAAACAUAUUUGUGAAUUCCACUUUUGUUUGGUUUACUGAUUGAUGUGUCGACUACUACAAUAAUUCUAUCAAUUUUCGAAACAACAACAAAAACAUGUGUUUGCUGCCACGCGAACUGCUAAAACCUUCAACUUAAUCCAAACAAGUGAGAUAGAGAGAGAAUGAGCAAAGAAAAAAUAACAAAUAUGAAACCAGGAUACCUAGCUUCUGCCAUUGUUGUAUUGUUGGAACUCGUUUUUGACGAAAUGGUUUUAAAUCAUUUUUGGUAAGUUUCCGAGCGAAGACGUUCGUCGGAAUACCGGAUGUUGGACACUAUAAAGUAGUGUACCUACAUGUCAAAGUCGGAGUUAGUUUUGAAUGAAAAAUAGAGGUCCGAAGUGAGUAUUUACAAAAACUUUUAUAGCUUUUAAAUUUGACUAAUAUACAAAUUAGCAAAUGGUACACUUUGAAUAUUUGAAUUUGAAUUUAGAUUUGAAUUUGCUAGUUGGAUUUAUAUCUAGUAUUUAUUCAUACAAUCACAUUCAUAUAAUAAUUUUUAUAUUCUUAAAUAUAAAAUUUAUAUUACCCAUUGGAAAUUAUUUUGUUGCUUUUGACCGGUCAAUCGAUAGUCAAUUGAACAAAAUCAGUUUCGUAGAGUAACGUUAUUAUUAUUAGUUAUGGGAAUCAUAAUGACAAUUAAUUUGUUACUGAAAACUCCAUAACGUACACAAUGUGCAUUUCAUGAUUUGAAAGCUAUAAAUCAUGUGUGCUCUCAUUCAGAAAAACACACACGAGCAACUUAACAACAAAAAGAUUAUCCCAUCAUGAAAUAGUUAUGUUAAUAUUCCCCCUUUGUGUCUAAGAGUACAUCAUAAAACUAGUUUCGUUAGUAUUAUGAUAGAGUGACGCAGAUCAGAAGAUUUGUGUAGUUAUAUCCUUGGAAUUUGAGUGUUAUGAAACCGUCACACUACGAGUCGUUUAAAGAUUAAAAGAAAGAGAUUAAUUAUCUCGACUCUACAAUUUUUAUUUGUUUGUUUGUUUUUGUAUUGUAUUUGUUAAUUUAUGUUUUUAAUAUUUUUAUAAAUAUCAGUUGUUUCGUCCCCUAGACUAUAUUUGCGAAGUGAUUUUGUCACAUGUCCUCUCUACAAUCAUUUUUACAAAAACAAUGAUAACAUAGCUAACAAAAUUGAUGACAAAGCUUAUAGUUAAUAUGGCAUGGUAGAAUAUGGCAAUAACUAAUACAUUACAUUUAAUGUUAAUUUAUAUUUUUGGUAAACUUCUUAAAAUAUGGUAAUAAUUCAUAAAUCAUCACUAAAAUAAAUAUAUUGAAAUAUGCAUUAUAAAUUUCGAAAUACAUUAUUUAAUUGUAUUUUUAUAAUUAUACAAUUUUUAUUACUAAUAUUUUCAAAAUUUUCUACAUCUUUUUAAAAAUAUUAAUAAAUUGUUAAUCUUAAUUUCAUUAGAUUCUUUUAGAUAUCUACAAAUUUUAUAAAUAUUAUUUAGUUAUAAGUUUUAAUAACUAUACAAUUUUUAUAUGAUUUUUUAAUAAUUUUAUACAAGUUGAUUUGAUACAUUUAACCAAAAUAAAUAGAUAAAUUUUUAUCUAAGAUUCUAAUUUUAAAUAUAUUACAUAUACAUUAUUAAAUGUAAUUUAAAAUAAACAAAAUUAUUUUUUUUUGCUUAUUUUAUGCUUAAAUAAUCAAUUUUAUAUUAAACUAGAUAUGAGCCCGUGCGUUGCAACGAGUUUUGUUGGAUGUUUUAAUUUAAUAAAGAAAUAAAUAGUUUUUAUUAUACUUUAAGGAUUAUUUUUGCAUAUGAUGUGUGAGACUUAUUUUAUAAUUAAGAACUCGUUUUUACACAUAAAAUACAGUUAAUAUUUGUAUUUUAUAAUCAUAGUGCAUAUGUGAAUUUUUAUCAAUUUUCUACUAAAUCCUAGAGAAACACUCAUACCUAUAACUUUAAACCCAACCCAACCUGAAUUAAGAAUUAGAAUAUAAAAAAAUUGAAAGUUAAAUAAGGCCAAUUGAGUCAAUGACAACAUCGUACACUUUCUUAUUUAAUAAUUUAACAUUAUAUUAAACUUAUCUGAUGCUUAACAAUUUUCUAAAUUCAUAUUUCUUAAUGAUAUAUUUCCAUAACAACAUUUUAAUUAAAAAUGAAGCAGAAAAAUAUUACAUAGUAAAAAAAAUGUAAUAAGAUAACGAUUAAACUUGAUUUUUUUAACAAAAUGCAUAUAAAAAUCACUUCAGUGACAAUAAUAAUAAUAAUUAUGACCAAACAUGAAAAUAUAUAUCAGACAUGUGUAUAAUUUUCGUAUGACCAAACAUAUAUAAAUAGCAAUCAUGAAGACAUCCUAAUUUUUUAUUUUUGUUAAUUAAAUAGUUUUAACAUCAUACUUGUCAUCGAAUUCUUUUUUUUUAAUUAUUAUUACAUAAUUUUACAAUUUAUUUUUGUUUAGAUUUUUUUAAAGGAAUCAUUUUCAUUUACAAUCAAAUAUAUUUAUAUAUAUCAAAUACUCUUUUAACUUUUGUUUUAGGAUUUUAUGAAAGAAAAAUUACUAUCAUAUAACCUUUUACAAUUGUCUUCUGUUUAAAAUUUUAGAAAAAUUAAAUUGUUAUCAAAUAAUUAUUUCUAGUUACUAUUAAAUAAGUUUAAAAAUACUAUUUAUGCAAUUCGUAUCUAAACUAAUUUUAAACAGAUUGAGUAUUUUUUUAGUAUCAUGUUCAUCAUCAAAUUUUCUUUUAAAAAUAUAACAAAAUAAAAUUUUAUUUUGGAUAGAAAUUAAAAAUUUGAUACAAAACUCUUCUGUUUAUGAUUUUCUAAAAAUAUAUCAAAUAUUCUCUUACAGUUUUAGGGCUUUAGAAAAGAAAUGAAUAUUAAAUAAUAUUUUAAAAUUUAAUUUUUUUUGGGAUUUAUAAUAACUAAAUUACUAUCAAAUAAUUAUUUCCAGUUAAUUAACUAUUUUUGGCAGUUGCUAUUUUCAAAAUUGAUUUUUUCAAUAUCACUAAUGUUGUAACAAUUUUUCUUUGUUAAUUAAAUCAUUUUUAGUAUCAUGUUUAUCAUUAAAUUUUAAAUUUUGAAAGUAAAAAUUACUAUUAAAUAAACUUUUAAUAUUAUAUUUUGUAAGGAUUAUUUUUUUUUAAAGAAAAAAAAAUCUUAUUUGGUCAAAAUUAAAAAAGGAAUAAUUAUUUCACAAAUAUCUUUUAUUUAGGAUUUUAGUAAAAAGAAAGUUAUAUUCACAUGAUGGCAUAUUUUUAUUGACACAUUAACAUAUAAGUUUUUUAUUGGCACAUGUAACAAUCAUAUCGGGUGAAAUAUUUAAAUUUAUUUUGGUGUAUAAUUUUUUUAACACAAAAUUACCUAUGAAAAAAGAAAGUUAGUUAUUUAUAAGAAAAAUAAUAUUGCUUUUACAAUUUUAGUUUAUUUAGAAUUUUAAAAAAAGAAAUUUACUUAUUUUAUAAUUAGUUUUCUUUAAUAUUUUUUUUUUAAAACAUUUCUUGUAUUGGUAGGAUACUACAAUUCGUUUUUGUUUAAAAAUUUUGUACAGCUAAUUUAUUUUUAAUAAAUUUUUCUUUUUAACUGAUUUUAUAUUUUGUCUUAUACGUACAAACACAUAUUUAUAAUGUUUUUCAUCUUCAUACAUACUCAUGUGUGAUAACACAUCAUAAUUGAAAAAAAAUUGUGUUAGCAUCAUAAAAUGUAAUAAGAUUAUAAAAAUUUGAGUUUUUAUCAAGAAAUUAAAAUAAAAUACUUAGGUAAUAAUUUUCUCGUAAAUAAUAUUUCGUUUUGUGAAAAUAAUAUGUGAAAACUAAAACCUAAAUAUAGUUGUGAAAUAUUUAUAGCUAUUUUUGGUUUAUAAUUUUUUAACAUACUUACCUAUAGAAAAGGAAAGUUUGUUAUUUAUGGUAAAAUAAUAGUAAUACUUUUACAAUUUUCUUUUGUUUAGUCUUUUAAGAAAUAAUAUUACUUAUUUUAUAGUUAGUUUUAAUUUUUGAUAUUUAUUAAAUAAUUUCUUGUACUUGUAGGAUUUUGAUAAUUCGUUUUUUUUAAACAAUUAGUUAAUAUUUUUCUUUCACAAUUUUCUUUCUUUAGUAUCUUUAAAAACAAAAAUUAUAUUUUCUUAAACAGAAAAUAGAUAUACUUUCAAAUAAUAUUUUAUAAUUAUUUACUUGUUUAGGAUUUAAAAAUAAAAUAAAAAUUACUAUCCCAUAAUUUUAACAAUAUAUAAUUGUAAAAGACUAUGUAAUAGUAAUUGUUCUUUUCCAAAAUCUUAAAAAGAAUUGUAAAAAGAUAUUUUUGUAAUAAUAUAUCAUAUUUUUAAAUCUUAAA